GAUGAACGCUGGCGGCGUGCCUAAUACAUGCAAGUCGAGCGAACAGACGAGGAGCUUGCUCCUCUGACGUUAGCGGCGGACGGGUGAGUAACACGUGGAUAACCUACCUAUAAGACUGGGAUAACUUCGGGAAACCGGAGCUAAUACCGGAUAAUAUAUUGAACCGCAUGGUUCAAUAGUGAAAGACGGUUUUGCUGUCACUUAUAGAUGGAUCCGCGCCGCAUUAGCUAGUUGGUAAGGUAACGGCUUACCAAGGCGACGAUGCGUAGCCGACCUGAGAGGGGGAUCAGCCAAACUGGAACUGAGACACGGUCCAGACUCCUACGGGAGGCAGCAGUAGGGAAUAGUCCGCAAUGGGCGAAAGCAUGACGGAGCAACGCCGCGGGAGUGAUGAAGGUCUUCGGAUCGUAAAACUCUGUUAUUAGGGAAGAACAAAUGUGUAAGUAACUAUGCACGUAUUGACGGUACCUAAUCAGAAAGCCACGGCUAACUACGUG
rnacentral:rRNA from 1 species